rnacentral:rRNA from 1 species
AUUGAACGCUUGCGGCAGGCCUAACACAUGCAAGUCGAACGAGCGGCGGACGGGUGAGUAAUGUCUGGGAAACUGCCUGAUGGAGGGGGAUACCUACUGGAACCGGUAGCUAAUACCGCAUACUAUAGGAUGUGCCCCGAUGGGAUUAGCUGGUAGGUGGGGUACCGGCUCCCCAAGGCGACGAUCCCUAGCUGGUCUGAGAGGACGACCAGCCACACUGGAACUGAGACACGGUCCAGACUCCUACGGGAGGCAGCAGUGGGGAAUAUUGCACAAUGGGCGCAAGCCUGAGGCAGCCAUGCCGCGUGUGUGAAGAAGGCCUUCGGGUUGUAAAGCACUUUCAGCGGGGAGGCGUUACCCGCAGAAGAAGCACCGGCUAACUCCGUGCCAGCAGCCGCGGUAAUAC